rnacentral:tRNA from 1 species
CGCCGGGGUUGCCGACCGGCGCUGCGCCCGGGCCGGCCGCCCGGCGGGCGGCGUCGCCCGCCGCUGCCGGUUAUGAUCGCGGGCAUGACCUGGCGA